rnacentral:lncRNA from 1 species
GAUUACAUUACAUUAUAAGCAGUGAGACUACCUAGCGUGGAGCAUGGUUAGUUAAUUCGGAUUCGGCAAAAAUUCGGUACGGAUAUAAUUCGGAUAAAAUUCGUCUCUUAAUUUUUAAAUUCGUUGAAAAAUACGGCUAAAAAACGGAAUCGGCAAUUAUUCGGAUACGUGAUUUAUAUGGAAAUUAUACGUUCACCAAUUAAAAAUUCGGGAUAAAAAAUUCGGCUAUAUAAUAAAUAUAUAAUAAUUAAUAUACUAUAUUUAUUAUUAUUAUUAUUUUUAUAUAUAGAUUAAAUAUAUUUAAAAUUAUAAUAAAUAUAUAUUAAUAAUAUAGAAGAGUUAUAUUAUAUAUUUAGAAAUAUUAAUAAAUAAAUACAGAUUUAUAAAUAAAAUAUAAGUUUUUGGCCCUUGGAUUAGGGGAUGUGCGGUUAGGAUGAUGUGGGCCUCCUAGGGUUGAGUGGGUGGUUGGUUGAAUAGUAUAAUCUAACGAAUAAAAAUGAUCAAAGGCAUAGAUCUAACGGUAAAAAAUUUACAAGCACCAAGUGCUUGGUGCUUGUACAAGCACCAUAGCCGGACUCUAUAUAUAUAUAUAUAUAUAUAUUG